AGCAGAAGAGAAGAAAAGGGACAAACACGAUAUUCAUGUAUGAGAAAGCAUGUAUUUUAACUUGUUAUACGUGUAACCCUGAGAGUAUGUAAAGUGAGCCUGUUUGCUCUAAAUUUCUCAGAUGGAGUUGCCAUGGAGAGAAUGCAACGCGGAUCGCAAGAUGUUUACUGUGUUCCAUCGCACUCAGAGAUGCAAGGGAGCCCUUGGAAUUGGUGCAGCCACGUGUCCUAAGGAAACCGGAGAUCGCUCAGGCAGAAGAGUUGUCAUGGAGAGAAUGCAACGCGGAUCGCAAGAUGUUUUCUGUGUUCCGUCGCACCCAGAGAUGAAAGGGAGCCCUUGGAAUUGGUGCGGCCACAUGUCCUAAGGAAACUGGAGAUUUCUCAGGCAGUGGAGUUGCCAUGGAGAGGAUGCAACGCGGAUCGCAAGAUGUUUCCUGUGUUCCAUCGCACCCAGAGAUGCAAGGGAGCCCUUGGAAUUGGUGUGGCCACAUGUCCUAAGGAAACUGGAGAUUUCUCAGGCAAUGGAGUUUGUCUGGAAUGGAAGCCAAGUGGAUUGAAGGAAAUUCCAGGUUGCCUUUCAAUCCCACAGAGGGUAUGGAGUCACUGGACGGAUGGCGGCGUCAG